GCCGGGGUAGCUCAGCUGGGAGAGCAACAGACUGAAGUAAUGAAUAGGCGCUGCCUUCUGGAGGUCCCGUGUUCAAUCCACGGUCCUGGCA